rnacentral:rRNA from 1 species
GAUGAACGCUGGCGGCGUGCCUAAUACAUGCAAGUCGAGCGAACGGACGAGAAGCUUGCUUCUCUGAUGUUAGCGGCGGACGGGUGAGUAACACGUGGAUAACCUACCUAUAAGACUGGGAUAACUUCGGGAAACCGGAGCUAAUACCGGCUGAUAUUUUGAACCGCAUGGUUCAAAAGUGAAAGACGGUCUUGCUGUCACUUAUAGAUGGAUCCGCGCUGCAUUAGCUAGUUGGUAAGGUAACGGCUUACCAAGGCAACGAUGCAUAGCCGACCUGAGAGGGUGAUCGGCCACACUGGAACUGAGACACGGUCCAGACUCCUACGGGAGGCAGCAGUAGGGAAUCUUCCGCAAUGGGCGAAAGCCUGACGGAGCAACGCCGCGUGAGUGAUGAAGGUCUUCGGAUCGUAAAACUCUGUUAUUAGGGAAGAACAUAUGUGUAAGUAACUGUGCACAUCUUGACGGUACCUAAUCAGGAAGCCACGGCUAACUACGUG